UUUCUAGCCAGGCUCCUGGCUGAAAUCCAGCUCUUUGCUGGAUUUCUCCAAAGCCUGGCUGGAAA
rfam:Mesocricetus auratus contig191299, whole genome shotgun sequence.